UACAGAGGUCUCGAGCGUUAGGCGGAAUCACUGGGCUUAAAGCGUGUGUAGGCGGGUCGUUAAGUACCUUGUGAAAUCCCAUGGCUCAACCAUGGAACUGCUGGGUAUACUGGCGAUCUUGUGCAACCUAGGGGCGAGCGGAACAGAUGGUGGAGCGGUGAAAUGCGUAGAUAUCAUCUGGAACGCCAAUGGUGAAAAACAGCUCGCUGGGGGUUUGCAGACGCUGAGACACGAAAAGCCAGGGGAGCGAACGGGG
rnacentral:rRNA from 1 species